UACGUAGGGUGCAAGCGUUGUCCGGAAUUAUUGGGCGUAAAGAGCUCGUAGGCGGUUUGUCGCGUCUGCUGUGAAAACCCGAGGCUCAACCUCGGGCCUGCAGUGGGUACGGGCAGACUAGAGUGCGGUAGGGGAGAUUGGAAUUCCUGGUGUAGCGGUGGAAUGCGCAGAUAUCAGGAGGAACACCAGUGGCGAAGGCGGUUGCCUGGGGCUUUGCUGACGCUGAUGCGCGAAAGCGUGGGGAGCGAUCCGG
rnacentral:rRNA from 1 species